rnacentral:rRNA from 1 species
GAACGAACGCUGGCGGCGUGGAUUAGGCAUGCAAGUCGAACGAGAAUCUGAGAGUCCAAGUUUUCGGACAAGGACUUUUGGAGGAAAGUGGCGGAAGGGUGAGUACAACAUGGAUAAUCUACCUUCAAGUUGGGUAUAGCUUUCCGAAAGGAGAGAUAAUCCCGGAUGUGGUGAUCCGGCGCAUGCCGGAGACUCCAAAGGUGGGGACCGCAAGGCCUGCCGCUUGAAGAUGAGUCCGUGCACUAUCAGCUAGUUGGUGAGGUAAUGGCUCACCAAGGCUAUGACGGUUAGCUGGUCUGAGAGGAUGGUCAGUCACACUGGGACUGAGAUACGGCCCAGACUCCUACGGGAGGCAGCAGUUGGGAAUCUUAGGCAAUGGGCGAAAGCCUGACCUAGCGACGCCGCGUGAGGGAAGAAGGCCUUCGGGUCGUAAACCUCUGUCAUGGGGGACGAAGGAAGUGACGGUACCCCAAGAGGAAGCCCCUGCUAACUACGUGCCAGCAGCCGCGGUAAUACGUAGGGGGCGAGCGUUAUCCGGAAUUAUUGGGCGUAAAGGGCGAGUAGGCGGUCUGUUAAGUCAGGUGUGAAAUUUCAGGGCUCAACCCUGAAACUGCGCUUGAAACUGGCAGGCUAGAGGACAGGAGAGGGAAGUGGAAUUCCCGGUGUAGCGGUGGAAUGCGUAGAUAUCGGGAGGAACACCAGUGGCGAAGGCGGCUUCCUGGACUGUACCUGACGCUGAGGAGCGAAAGCUGGGGGAGCAAACAGGAUUAGAUACCCUGGUAGUCCCAGCUGUAAACGAUGAGUGCUAGGUGUGGAGGGCUACAAUCCUCCGUGCCGCAGUUAACGCAAUAAGCACUCCGCCUGGGGAGUACGGCCGCAAGGCUAAAACUCAAAGGAAUUGACGGGGGCCCGCACAAGCAGUGGAGCGUGUGGUUUAAUUCGAGGCAACGCGCAGAACCUUACCAGGGUUUGACAUCAUACUGACGUCUGUAGAAACACAGAUUUCCGUUUAGGCGGACGGUAUGACAGGUGUUGCAUGGUUGUCGUCAGCUCGUGUCGUGAGAUGUUGGGUUAAGUCCCGCAACGAGCGCAACCCCUAUCCAAUGUUGCCAACAGGUAAAGCUGGGGACUCAUUGGAGACUGCCGGAGACGAUCUGGAGGAAGGUGGGGAUGAGGUCAAAUCAUCAUGGCCCUUAAGCCCUGGGCUACACACGCGCUACAAUGGCCGGUACAACGGGCAGCGAAGGAGCGAUCUGGAGCGAAUCCCAAAAAGCCGGCCCCAGUUGGAAUCGCAGGCUGCAACCCGCCUGCGUGAACAUGGAAUUGCUAGUAAUCGCGAAUCAGCUACGUCGCGGUGAAUACGUUCCCGGGCCU